AGAGUUUGAUCCUGGCUCAGGAUGAACGCUGGCGGCGUGCCUAACACAUGCAAGUCGAACGGGGAUAUAUUGGAAUGAGGAUUCGUCUGAAGGAAAUGUAUCUUAGUGGCGGACGGGUGAGUAACGCGUGGGCAACCUACCGUAUACAGGGGGAUAACACUUAGAAAUAGGUGCUAAUACCGCAUAAGCGCACAGCAGUGCAUACUGGAGUGUGAAAAGCCGAGACGGUAUACGAUGGGCCCGCGUCUGAUUAGCCAGUUGGCAGGGUAACGGCCUACCAAAGCGACGAUCAGUAGCCGGCCUGAGAGGGCGGACGGCCACAUUGGGACUGAGACACGGCCCAGACUCCUACGGGAGGCAGCAGUGGGGGAUAUUGCACAAUGGGGGGAACCCUGAUGCAGCGACGCCGCGUGAGUGAAGAAGUAAUUCGUUAUGUAAAGCUCUAUCAGCAGGGAAGAAUAAAUGACGGUACCUGAGUAAGAAGCCCCGGCUAACUACGUGCCAGCAGCCGCGGU
rnacentral:rRNA from 1 species